rnacentral:misc_RNA from 1 species
AAGUCGUAACAAGGUUUCCGUAGGUGAACCUGCGGAAGGAUCAUUAACACGUAUCCAACGUAAAAAACCCCCCUGUGAACAUUCAAACCUGCUCUCGUAGCCCAGUGCGCGGGACUUCUGACAAAUGAGAAGUUACAGUUACGAUUGAGCGGAGAUAGCUGCAUGGCAUCCCGAAGCAGUCAGUGUCUGAAAGUGUCAUUGAUUGUCUAAGGAUCUCGCCUCAACGAUUGCCAGAGGUCGCUCACCGACCGGCAGACAUGCAACCGGGUCCCCACGCCCCUUUACAACCCCAUUACCUCUGUGAGUCGCGGGAAACUAGCGGCUAAAAAACCUCGAACAACUGUUAACAAUGGAUAUCUUGGUUCUC